rnacentral:rRNA from 1 species
UACGUAGGGGGCAAGCGUUGUCCGGAUUUAUUGGGCGUAAAGCGCUCGCAGGUGGUUCAUUGCGUCGUGCGUGAAAGACCCCGGCUCAACUGGGGAGGGUCGUGCGAAACGGGUGAACUAGAGGCCAGUAGGGGGAUGCGGAAUUCCGGGUGUAGUGGUGGAAUGCGUAGAGAUCCGGAAGAACACCGGUGGCGAAGGCGGCCUGCUGGGACAGUGCUGACGCUGAGGCGCGACAGCGUGGGGAGCAAACAGG